GGUUAAGUGACUAAGCGUACACGGUGGAUGCCUAGGCAGUCAGAGGCGAUGAAGGACGUGCUAAUCUGCGAUAAGCGUCGGUGAGCUGAUAUGAAGCGUUAUUAGCCGGCGAUGUCCGAAUGGGGAAACCCAGUGCAAUCCGUUGCACUAUCGUUAAGUGAAUCCAUAGCUUAACGAGGCGAACCAGGGGAACUGAAACAUCUAAGUACCCUGAGGAAAAGAAAUCAACCGAGAUUCCCCCAGUAGCGGCGAGCGAACGGGGAAGAGCCCAGAACCUGAAUCAGUUUGUGCAUUAGUGGAAGCGUCUGGAAAGUCGCGCGAUACAGGGUGAUAGCCCCGUACACGAAGGUGCACAGCUGUGAGUUCGAUGAGUAGGGCGGGACACGUGUUAUCCUGUCUGAAUAUGGGGGGACCAUCCUCCAAGGCUAAAUACUCCUGACUGACCGAUAGUGAACCAGUACCGUGAGGGAAAGGCGAAAAGAACCCCGGCGAGGGGAGUGAAAUAGAACCUGAAACCGUGUACGUACAAGCAGUGGGAGCACCUUUUGGGUGUGACUGCGUACCUUUUGUAUAAUGGGUCAGCGACUUAUAUUUUGUAGCAAGGUUAACCGAAUAGGGGAGCCGUAGGGAAACCGAGUCUUAACUGGGCGUCUAGUUGCAAGGUAUAGACCCGAAACCCGGUGAUCUAGCCAUGGGCAGGUUGAAGGUUGGGUAACACUAACUGGAGGACCGAACCGACUAAUGUUGAAAAAUUAGCGGAUGACUUGUGGCUGGGGGUGAAAGGCCAAUCAAACCGGGAGAUAGCUGGUUCUCCCCGAAAGCUAUUUAGGUAGCGCCUCGUGAACUCAUCUUCGGGGGUAGAGCACUGUUUCGGCUAGGGGGUCAUCCCGACUUACCAACCCGAUGCAAACUACGAAUACCGAAGAAUGUUAUCACGGGAGACACACGGCGGGUGCUAACGUCCGUCGUGAAGAGGGAAACAACCCAGACCGCCAGCUAAGGUCCCAAAGUCAUGGUUAAGUGGGAAACGAUGUGGGAAGGCACAGACAGCCAGGAUGUUGGCUUAGAAGCAGCCAUCAUUUAAAGAAAGCGUAAUAGCUCACUGGUCGAGUCGGCCUGCGCGGAAGAUGUAACGGGGCUAAACCAUGCACCGAAGCUGCGGCAGCGACGCUUAGGCGUUGUUGGGUAGGGGAGCGUUCUGUAAGCCGUUGAAGGUGGCCUGUGAGGGCUGCUGGAGGUAUCAGAAGUGCGAAUGCUGACAUAAGUAACGAUAAAGCGGGUGAAAAGCCCGCUCGCCGGAAGACCAAGGGUUCCUGUCCAACGUUAAUCGGGGCAGGGUAAGUCGACCCCUAAGGCGAGGCCGAAAGGCGUAGUCGAUGGGAAACAGGUUAAUAUUCCUGUACUUGGUGUUAUUGCGAAGGGGGGACGGAGAAGGCUAGGCCGGCCGGGCGACGGUUGUCCCGGUUUAAGCGUGUAGGUGUGAUGACCUGGCAAAUCCGGUUAUCUUUAACACUGAGGCGUGAUGACGAGGCACUACGGUGCUGAAGUGGUUAAUGCCCUGCUUCCAGGAAAAGCCUCUAAGCUCCAGAUAACACUGAAUCGUACCCCAAACCGACACAGGUGGUCAGGUAGAGAAUACCAAGGCGCUUGAGAGAACUCGGGUGAAGGAACUAGGCAAAAUGGUGCCGUAACUUCGGGAGAAGGCACGCUGGCAUGUAGGUGAAGUCCCUUGCGGAUGGAGCCGAAGCCAGUCGAAGAUACCAGCUGGCUGCAACUGUUUAAUAAAAACACAGCACUCUGCAAACACGAAAGUGGACGUAUAGGGUGUGACGCCUGCCCGGUGCUGGAAGGUUAAUUGAUGGGGUCAGCCGCAAGGCGAAGCUCUUGAUCGAAGCCCCAGUAAACGGCGGCCGUAACUAUAACGGUCCUAAGGUAGCGAAAUUCCUUGUCGGGUAAGUUCCGACCUGCACGAAUGGCGUAAUGAUGGCCAGGCUGUCUCCACCCGAGACUCAGUGAAAUUGAACUCGCUGUGAAGAUGCAGUGUACCCGCGGCAAGACGGAAAGACCCCGUGAACCUUUACUAUAGCUUGACACUGAACAUUGAACCUUGAUGUGUAGGAUAGGUGGGAGGCUUUGAAGUGUGGACGCCAGUCUGCAUGGAGCCGACCUUGAAAUACCACCCUUUAAUGUUUGAUGUUCUAACCUGGUCCCGUGAUCCGGGAUAGGGACAGUGUCUGGUGGGUAGUUUGACUGGGGCGGUCUCCUCCCAAAGAGUAACGGAGGAGCACGAAGGUUAGCUAAUCCUGGUCGGACAUCAGGAGGUUAGUGCAAAGGCAUAAGCUAGCUUGACUGCGAGAGUGACGGCUCGAGCAGGUGCGAAAGCAGGUCUUAGUGAUCCGGUGGUUCUGAAUGGAAGGGCCAUCGCUCAACGGAUAAAAGGUACUCCGGGGAUAACAGGCUGAUACCGCCCAAGAGUUCAUAUCGACGGCGGUGUUUGGCACCUCGAUGUCGGCUCAUCACAUCCUGGGGCUGAAGUAGGUCCCAAGGGUAUGGCUGUUCGCCAUUUAAAGUGGUACGCGAGCUGGGUUUAGAACGUCGUGAGACAGUUCGGUCCCUAUCUGCCGUGGGCGUUGGAAGAUUGAGAGGGGCUGCUCCUAGUACGAGAGGACCGGAGUGGACGCACCGCUGGUGUUCGGGUUGUGAUGCCAAUUGCAUUGCCCGGUAGCUACGUGCGGAAAAGAUAAGCGCUGAAAGCAUCUAAGCGCGAAACUUGCCUCGAGAUGAGUCUUCCCUUGGACCUUGAGUCCACUGAAGGAACGUUUAAGACUAAGACGUUGAUAGGCUGGGUGUGUAAGCGUAGCGAUACGUUGAGCUAACCAGUACUAAUGAUCCGAGAGGCUUAACCUU
rnacentral:rRNA from 1 species